UACGGAGGGUGCGAGCGUUGUCCGGAAUCAUUGGGCGUAAAGGGCGCGUAGGUGGCCUGCUAAGCGUGCGGUGAAAGUCGGGGGCUCAACCCCCGAUCGGCCGUGCGAACUGGGAGGCUUGAGCACUGUAGAGGCAGGCGGAAUUCCGGGUGUAGCGGUGGAAUGCGUAGAGAUCCGGAGGAACACCGAUGGCGAAGGCAAUCCCCUGGGCCUGCACUGACGCUCAUGCACGAAAGCGUGGGGAGCGAUCCGG
rnacentral:rRNA from 1 species